rnacentral:tRNA from 1 species
GCUGAAAUAGCUCAGUCUGUAGAGCACUUCACUCGUAAUGAAGGGGUCGUGAGUUCGAGUCUCAUUUUCAGCU